AAAUAUUUACACUGACAAAAAAACUAAAAUUGUGAUCUUCAGGAAAGGUGGUCCAAUAGCGCUGAAAGAAAUAUGGUUAUUUGAUGGUCAGUUAGUCAAUGUAGUGGAUCAUUAUUCAUAUUUAGGAAUCUGGUUUUCA